rnacentral:lncRNA from 1 species
AAGGCCUAUUCACUUGUGGUUCCUUCUUCCUGAAAUAAGGAAUGCUCCAGAGAGGAGCACAAAAAGGGGGUUACAGACAGGAGUGUGGGUGCUCCCGCCCAAAGGCUCCACAGGAGUCAUUGCGUUCCCACAGUUGCAGAAUGGAGGCCUCACCUAAGUCUCGCCAGCAACGCACUCUAGCCUUGCUCUGCACAGCAGUCAGGGCAGAACUGCACAAGUGUGGCAUGGAAUGACUAGAUACUCAGAUGAUGUACAGACCUUCAGAGAAAUCUGGACUGAUACCCCGAGUGCUGAGACCAUGAAGACAGGACACUUUUGGGGGACAGGAUGUUCUCACUGUACUCCUUAAAACUUUUCAGCCUGCCCUCUAGAGAUCAAAUCUUCAAUAAACAUUUACCACAGAGAAA